rnacentral:rRNA from 1 species
UUGAAAAGUUAGUGGCGGACGGGUGAGUAACGCGUGGGUAACCUGCCUUGUACUGGGGGACAACAGUUGGAAACGACUGCUAAUACCGCAUAAGCGCACAGUACCGCAUGGUACGGUGUGAAAAACUCCGGUGGUAUGAGAUGGACCCGCGUCUGAUUAGGUAGUUGGUGGGGUAACGGCCUACCAAGCCGACGAUCAGUAGCCGACCUGAGAGGGUGACCGGCCACAUUGGGACUGAGACACGGCCCAA